CGGCGGACGGGUGAGUAACGCGUGGGUAACCUGCCUCAUACAGGGGGAUAACAGUUAGAAAUGGCUGCUAAUACCGCAUAAGACCACGGUACUGCAUGGUACAGUGGUAAAAACUCCGAUGGUAUGAGAUGGCCCCGCGUCUGAUUAGGUAGUUGGUGAGGUAACGGCCCACCAAGCCGACGAUCAGUAGCCGACCUGAGAGGGUGACCGGCCACAUUGGGACUGAGACACGGCCCAG
rnacentral:rRNA from 1 species